rnacentral:rRNA from 1 species
CCUACGGGUGGCAGCAGUGAGGAAUAUUGGUCAAUGGGCGCGAGCCUGAACCAGCCAAGUAGCGUGAAGGAUGACUGCCCUACGGGUUGUAAACUUCUUUUAUAUAGGAAUAAAGUGAGGCACGUGUGCCUUUUUGUAUGUACUUUAUGAAUAAGGAUCGGCUAACUCCGUGCCAGCAGCCGCGGUAAUACGGAGGAUCCGAGCGUUAUCCGGAUUUAUUGGGUUUAAAGGGAGCGUAGGUGGAUUGUUAAGUCAGUUGUGAAAGUUUGCGGCGCAACCGUAAAAUUGAAAUUGAUACUGGCAGCCUUGAGUACAGAAGAGGUAGGCGGAAUGCGUGGUGUAGCGGUGAAAUGCUUAGAUAUCACGAAGAACUCCGAUUGCGAAGGCAGCUUACUAAACUGCCACUGACAUUGAUGCUCGAAAGUGUGGGUAUCAAACAGGAUUAGAUACCCGUGUAGUC